CCGUGCAGGUGAGAUGUGUAGUCAUGAUUUCCAGGCAAGGAUUCAGGAGAAGAGUCACCGAGUAGCUUCGAUAUACCGAAUGCAGAUAUGUAGGACAGGUGCCUGCGACAGGACGCUCCAGGUCGCACUUUAAGAGGCUGAAAAUAAGUUAUCCUCAAGCAGAAUGAUGUUUCUCGCUUAGGCGGAACUAAUUCAUGGCCACUGUCUUCCACACGCUAAGCCUCUAAAGCAGGAACCAGGAAUUAUAAAGCCCCAGCUGCCACAUGAGAACAAGAGCCAGAAAG
rnacentral:lncRNA from 1 species